rnacentral:lncRNA from 1 species
CAGGAACUCCAGGAAGAAAAACAUAAAAGCAUGACUGAGGACUUAGGAGAUGGGAGCAGAAUACAAAGUGUCUUGAGGAAACCUAUGACUGAAACCUAAAAAACGUACUUCUAAAAUAUCAACUUCAACUAACGGAUGACUACAUCAUUAGAACUAGUCGAGUGAUUGAAGAGGAAAGGAAGAAUAAAGAUUGAGUUAAUGUCUGUCAAAGCACAGUCUUUGGCAAUAACAAAACAAAUAUAUUGUGAAUGAAAGUGUUCAAGAGAUAAGUGACUAUUUACUACUAAAGGAAGAAAAACUGGAAGAGAAUAAAAAUAAAAACAUGCAUCUCUUAAACCA